rnacentral:rRNA from 1 species
GACGAACGCUGGCGGCGUGCUUAACACAUGCAAGUCGAACGGAAAGGCCCUGCUUUUGUGGGGUGCUCGAGUGGCGAACGGGUGAGUAACACGUGAGUAACCUGCCCUUGACUUUGGGAUAACUUCAGGAAACUGGGGCUAAUACCGGAUAGGAGCUCCUGCUGCAUGGUGGGGGUUGGAAAGUUUCGGCGGUUGGGGAUGGACUCGCGGCUUAUCAGCUUGUUGGUGGGGUAGUGGCUUACCAAGGCUUUGACGGGUAGCCGGCCUGAGAGGGUGACCGGGCACAGUGGGACUGAGAUACGGCCCAGACUCCUACGGGAGGCAGCAGUGGGGAAUAUUGCACAAUGGGCGGAAGCCUGAUGCAGCAACGCCGCGUGCGGGAUGACGGCCUUCGGGUUGUAAACCGCUUUCGCCUGUGACGAAGCGUGAGUGACGGUAAUGGGUAGAGAAGCACCGGCUAACUACGUG